CAGAUCACGUAGGGUGUUAGUCGUUGAACAAACGAACCGUUGACAGCUGCUGCACCGUCGGGGUACCCUGAUCCAACAUCGAGGUCGUAGAUCUUCUUGUUGAUAUGGACUCUUUGAGAAGGUGGCGCUGUUAUCCCCGGGGUAGCUUAUUUCGUUAGUCAGUGUUACUGGGUCAAGAGAAGGAGACUUGUGGGUCUGGGUCUUUGGUGAGGUUGAUUUUUUCUAGAGUUGUCCCAACUGAAACUAUUACUUAUUUGUGUAAGUAAUUUGUUAAAGUUCCACGGGGUCUUUUUGUCUUGCUUUUUCAUAUCAGCUUUUGUACUGAUUAUUCAAUUUCGUUGGCUGCUCCUAGGAGACAGGUCUUCUCUCAUGGUGCCUUUCAUACGGGUCCUCAUUUAAGGGACAAGUGAUUGUGCUACCUUUGCGCGGUUUUAUGCCGCGGCCGUUUAGAUGGUUCCACAGGGCAGGCGUGACUUCUAAUACAUGUUUGGCUAGAAGCUAUGUUUUU
rnacentral:rRNA from 1 species